rnacentral:rRNA from 1 species
AAUUCGAUUAGAGUUUGAUCCUGGCUCAGAUUGAACGCUGGCGGCAUGCCUUACACAUGCAAGUCGAACGGCAGCACGGCUUCUUGCUCCUGGUGGCGAGUGGCGAACGAGUGAGUAAUACAUCCGAGCCUACCCAUGAGGGAGGGAUACCGUAACGAAAGUUACGCUCAUACCGAAUAUUCUGUGAGAAAGAAAGCGAUCGAUCGACAGAGCUCUCGCUCUUGGAGCGAUCGAUGUCUGAUUAGCUAGUUGGGGAGGAAAAAGCUCACCAGAGCAACCAUCCCUAGCCUGACUGAAAGAACGAUCUGCCUCACUGGGACAGACACUCCGCCCUCACUCCUACGGGAGGCAUCAGGGAUUAAUUUCGAAGGAUGGGGGCCACCUCGAUCCAUGCCUGCCGAGUGAGUAAAGACUGCCUUCUGGAUGGAUCGCUCUUUCGGGAGGAAAUAAAUAGCGACGGCUACUAUUCGUGGUUGAUGACCCCACCCAAAUAACAACGACUGGCUACCUGCCUGCCACCACCCUCGUACAUACGUAGGGAGCGAUAGUUAAUACUUAC